UGGGGAAUAUUGGACAAUGGGGGAAACCCUGAUCCAGCAAUGCCGCGUGAGUGAAGAAGGCCUUAGGGUUGUAAAGCUCUUUCGCCCGCGAAGAUAAUGACGGUAGCCGGAGAAGAAGCCCCGGCUAACUUCGUGCCAGCAGCCGCGGUAAUACGAAGGGGGCUAGCGUUGUUCGGAAUUACUGGGCGUAAAGCGCACGUAGGCGGAUUGUUAAGUCGGGGGUGAAAUCCCGGGGCUCAACCCCGGAACUGCCUUCGAUACUGGCAAUCUAGAGUCCGGAAGAGGUGAGUGGAAUUCCGAGUGUAGAGGUGAAAUUCGUAGAUAUUCGGAGGGACACCAGUGGCGAAGGCGGCUCACUGGUCCGGUACUGACGCUGAGGUGCGAAAGCGUGGGGAGCAAACA
rnacentral:rRNA from 1 species